AAAUUGAAGAGUUUGAUCAUGGCUCAGAUUGAACGCUGGCGGCAGGCCUAACACAUGCAAGUCGAACGGUAACAGGAAGCAGCUUGCUGCUUUGCUGACGAGUGGCGGACGGGUGAGUAAUGUCUGGGAAACUGCCUGAUGGAGGGGGAUAACUACUGGAAACGGUGGCUAAUACCGCAUAAUGUCGCAAGACCAAAGAGGGGGACCUUCGGGCCUCUUGCCAUCAGAUGUGCCCAGAUGGGAUUAGCUUGUUGGUGAGGUAACGGCUCACCAAGGCGACGAUCCCUAGCUGGUCUGAGAGGAUGACCAGCCACACUGGAACUGAGACACGGUCCAGACUCCUACGGGAGGCAGCAGUGGGGAAUAUUGCACAAUGGGCGCAAGCCUGAUGCAGCCAUGCCGCGUGUAUGAAGAAGGCCUUCGGGUUGUAAAGUACUUUCAGCGGGGAGGAAGGUGUUGUGGUUAAUAACCGCAGCAAUUGACGUUACCCGCAGAAGAAGCACCGGCUAACUCCGUGCCAGCAGCCGCGGUAAUACGGAGGGUGCAAGCGUUAAUCGGAAUUACUGGGCGUAAAGCGCACGCAGGCGGUCUGUCAAGUCGGAUGUGAAAUCCCCGGGCUCAACCUGGGAACUGCAUUCGAAACUGGCAGGCUUGAGUCUUGUAGAGGGGGGUAGAAUUCCAGGUGUAGCGGUGAAAUGCGUAGAGAUCUGGAGGAAUACCGGUGGCGAAGGCGGCCCCCUGGACAAAGACUGACGCUCAGGUGCGAAAGCGUGGGGAGCAAACAGGAUUAGAUACCCUGGUAGUCCACGCCGUAAACGAUGUCUACUUGGAGGUUGUGCCCUUGAGGCGUGGCUUCCGGAGCUAACGCGUUAAGUAGACCGCCUGGGGAGUACGGCCGCAAGGUUAAAACUCAAAUGAAUUGACGGGGGCCCGCACAAGCGGUGGAGCAUGUGGUUUAAUUCGAUGCAACGCGAAGAACCUUACCUGGUCUUGACAUCCACGGAAGAAUUCAGAGAUGGAUUUGUGCCUUCGGGAACCGUGAGACAGGUGCUGCAUGGCUGUCGUCAGCUCGUGUUGUGAAAUGUUGGGUUAAGUCCCGCAACGAGCGCAACCCUUAUCCUUUGUUGCCAGCGGUCCGGCCGGGAACUCAAAGGAGACUGCCAGUGAUAAACUGGAGGAAGGUGGGGAUGACGUCAAGUCAUCAUGGCCCUUACGACCAGGGCUACACACGUGCUACAAUGGCGCAUACAAAGAGAAGCGACCUCGCGAGAGCAAGCGGACCUCAUAAAGUGCGUCGUAGUCCGGAUUGGAGUCUGCAACUCGACUCCAUGAAGUCGGAAUCGCUAGUAAUCGUGGAUCAGAAUGCCACGGUGAAUACGUUCCCGGGCCUUGUACACACCGCCCGUCACACCAUGGGAGUGGGUUGCAAAAGAAGUAGGUAGCUUAACCUUCGGGAGGGCGCUUACCACUUUGUGAUUCAUGACUGGGGUGAAGUCGUAACAAGGUAACCGUAGGGGAACCUGC
rnacentral:rRNA from 1 species